UGGUGGAGUGAUUUGUCUGGUUAAUUCCGUUAACGAACGAGACCUCAGCCUGCUAAUUAAUUUCAACAAGGUUGAUUGCUAAAAUAUCUUAGAGGGACUCUCGGUUAUUAAUCGAUGGAAGUCUGAGGUACUAACA
rnacentral:rRNA from 1 species